ACUCCUACGGGAGGCAGCAGUGGGAAUAUUGGACAAUGGGGCACCCGUAGCAUCCAGCAAUGCCGCGUGUGUGAAGAAGGCCUGCGGGUUGUAAAGCACUUUCAGUUGUGAGGAAGUUUCAUUGAUUAAGAGUUGGUGAAUUGACGUUAGCAACAGAAGAAGCACCGGCUAACUCUGUGCCAGCAGCCGCGGUAAUACAGAGGGUGCAAGCGUUAAUCGGAAUUACUGGGCGUAAAGGGCACGUAGGUUGAUAAUUAAGUUGGAUGUGAAAGCCCGGCCU
rnacentral:rRNA from 1 species